rnacentral:rRNA from 1 species
UACGUAGGGGGCAAGCGUUAUCCGGAUUUACUGGGUGUAAAGGGAGCGCAGACGGUUAUGCAAGUCUGAUGUGAAAGGCUGGGGCUCAACCCUGGGACUGCAUUGGAAACUGUAUGGCUUGAGUGCCGGAAGGGUAAGCGGAAUUCCUAGUGUAGCGGUGAAAUGCGUAGAUAUUAGGAGGAACACCAGUGGCGAAGGCGGCUUACUGGACGGUAACUGACGUUGAGGCUCGAAAGCGUGGGGAG